UACGUAGGGCGCAAGCGUUGUCCGGAAUUAUUGGGCGUAAAGAGCUCGUAGGCGGCUUGUCACGUCGGGUGUGAAAGCCCGGGGCUUAACCCCGGGUCUGCAUUCGAUACGGGCUGGCUGGAGUGUGGUAGGGGAGACUGGAAUUCCUGGUGUAGCGGUGGAAUGCGCAGAUAUCAGGAGGAACACCGGUGGCGAAGGCGGGUCUCUGGGCCGAUACUGACACUGAGGCACGAAAGCGUGGGGAGCGAACAGG
rnacentral:rRNA from 1 species